rnacentral:rRNA from 1 species
UACGUAGGGUGCGAGCGUUGUCCGGAAUUAUUGGGCGUAAAGAGCUCGUAGGCGGUCUGUCGCGUCGGUCGUGAAAACUUGGGGCUUAACCCUGAGCUUGCGGUCGAUACGGGCAUGACUGGAGUUCGGCAGGGGAGACUGGAAUUCCUGGUGUAGCGGUGGAAUGCGCAGAUAUCAGGAGGAACACCGGUGGCGAAGGCGGGUCUCUGGGCAGUAACUGACGCUGAGGAGCGAAAGCGUGGGGAGCGAACAGG